GAUAAAUGUUCUGAAAUUACUUGUUCUACAGCUGGGAUUGAGCCUCCGUGGUGGCUCAGAUGGAUUCUGUCUUUGCCACAGGGGCCACUUUCUCCCUCCUUUCUGAGGAAAAACAAGUGGUAAGGUCUGAUGAAGACGGGCCCAGGGAAGGCAGACCAUGGCAUAAGAGCAGCUCCGGCCGUCCGAUGGCAUCACAGGACCCAUACCCCAGAGCUGACCUAGGGGCAUUCAGAAGCCUAAAGGCGAGACACUACAAGAAGGACAAGAGUAUAACCAAUCUCAGUUCUCUCCAUCUCCUCCUCCCUUGCAGCAAGGAAGACCUAAGACUGAGCCUCUGCUGUGCCAACUGCUUGUGUAGGGCCCUUGGUAUCCACACUUGGCUCUGGUUGGGAAGGAGGUCCUAAGGUUUGACCUGGGAAAUCUGAGCAGACUGUUCCUGGGAUACAUAGAUUCAGUUCAGUUCAGUUCAAUCACUUAGUCAUGUCCCACUCUUCAUGACCCCAUGGACCACAGCACGGUAGGCUCCCCUGUCCAUCCCCAACUCUCAGAGCUUGCUCAAACUCAUGUCCGUCGAGUCCGUGAUGCCAUCCAACUAUCUCAUCCUCUGUCAUCCUCUUUCUUCCUUCAGUCUUUCCCAGCGUCAGGGUCUUUUCUAAUGUGAAGUCAGCUCUUCACAUCAGGUGUCCAAAAAAAGUAUUGGAGCUUCAGCUUCAGCAUCAGCAUCAGUCCUUCCAAUGAAUAUUCAGGAUUGACUUCCUUUAGAAU
ensembl:lncRNA